CCUACGGGAGGCUGCAGUGAGGAAUAUUGGUCAAUGGACGAGAGUCUGAACCAGCCAAGUAGCGUGAAGGAUGACUGCCCUAUGGGUUGUAAACUUCUUUUAUAUGGGAAUAAAAUGUUCCACGUGUGGGAUUUUGUAUGUACCAUAUGAAUAAGGAUCGGCUAACUCCGUGCCAGCAGCCGCGGUAAUACGGAGGAUCCGAGCGUUAUCCGGAUUUAUUGGGUGUAAAGGGAGCGUAGGUGGAUUGUUAAGUCAGUUGUGAAAGUUUGCGGCUCAACCGUAAAAUUGCAGUUGAAACUGGCAGUCUUGAGUACAGUAGAGGUGGGCGGAAUUCGUGGUGUAGCGGUGAAAUGCUUAGAUAUCACGAAGAACUCCGAUUGCGAAGGCAGUUCACUGGACUGCAACUGACACUGAGGCUCGAAAGUGUGGGUAUCAAACAGGAUUAGAUACCCUAGUAGUC
rnacentral:rRNA from 1 species